GUGGGACCACAAAGGUGGCUUCCACAGGGCAUAGUGGUUAUCAGCUGUGCCUCCCCUCUUAGAGGUCCUCGGAGUCCGGAGUCCUCGAAGGGAAAUCUGACACAAUGAAGCAGGUAAAUGAAGGAGAAAAGAAAAGAACAAAAUCCACCGGGAACCAGAGACUUCCAGGCUCCAAGACAGGCAAUCUCCACCAGGAAUAGAGACAGGAUUUCACCAUGUCGCCCAGGCUGAUCUCAGACUCCUGACCUGGAUCUUCCCACCUCAGCCUCUGAACGUGCUGGGAUUACAGCUUAAAUAGUUCCACUUGAAGUUCACAACUGCCAAAACCGCGUGUUCAGACUGAAAGGCUGGGAGCAUUUGAGACGCAUUUAUGAACUUCCACCAAGAUGAUCCGGCAGGCUGAAGUCGCAGGGAGAGGGUCUGUUCAACAAACCCUUUCUUCUUGAUUGAAUUAGUAUUGGCCACUAACAGGAUGAGGAUUUCCCACUCCACAAGCUGACUUUUUUUCCUCUUUCCACCUCCCGCCUCCCUCCAUUAAAAUGUAAACUUGAUUCCUCUGUCCUUUGCAGGAGCCUGGCUUCCCUGUAAGCCCAUCAUAAACAUCUUGGUAGAAAUGCAA